rnacentral:ribozyme from 13 species
UUUUUUCUUUUUGAAAAUUUAUUUUUCUCUCUUCUCUUUGCAUAAGAGCGGGAAGAAAGAAAGGGGAAGGGGAAGGAAGGAGCUUAACAAGACAACAAGUUCUCGUUUUGUUCUCUCUUACUUCUUCUU